ACUCCUACGGGAGGCAGCAGUGGGGAAUAUUGCACAAUGGGCGCAAGCCUGAUGCAGCCAUGCCGCGUGUAUGAAGAAGGCCUUCGGGUUGUAAAGUACUUUCAGUCGUGAGGAAGGUUCAUGCGUUAAUAGCGUAUGGAUUUGACGUUAGCGACAGAAGAAGCACCGGCUAACUCCGUGCCAGCAGCCGCGGUAAUACGGAGGGUGCGAGCGUUAAUCGGAAUUACUGGGCGUAAAGCGCAUGCAGGUGGUUAGUUAAGUCAGAUGUGAAAGCCCGGGGCUCAACCUCGGAAUUGCAUUUGAAACUGGCUGACUAGAGUACUGUAGAGGGGGGUAGAAUUUCAGGUGUAGCGGUGAAAUGCGUAGAGAUCUGAAGGAAUACCGGUGGCGAAGGCGGCCCCCUGGACAGAUACUGACACUCAGAUGCGAAAGCGUGGGGAGCAAACAGGAUUAGAUACCCUGGUAGGAUAGCG
rnacentral:rRNA from 1 species